UUUAACCAGGCUAGCAUUUCUGAUCUACACACUACACUUCUAUUGGAACUCUCUGUAAUGAAUACACCCUAUUAUGUCUGCCUAUCUGACCUUUGACCUCUUGUGUGUUUUCCUCCACAGAGCCGAGAAGACUGAGGUGCUGAGUGAUGACCUUCUACAGAUUGAGAGGCGCAUGGAGCUGGUCCGUCUGGUGUCCCACAACGCACACAAGAGACUGGUCACCUGUCUACAGGGUCACAUCGGAACGGAGGCAGAAAAGAGACAC